rnacentral:lncRNA from 1 species
UGAGUUCACAGACAGGUUUUUGGAGCUGUUGCCAUUUGCCGGGCAAAAUCUGGAUACAGAUCAGAAAAAGUCAAGGAGGUAUAUCAUGAAGCUCCAUUCCAGGUAUUCCUCCUUGAUUCAGUCAGCAGAGAGGGAGAGUUUCCAUGCCAUAGUGGAUAUGGCUCGGAGGAUGGAGGCUAGUGCUAUCAUCGAAGGGAAAGUCAAACAGUCAGUGGCACAGCCUUCUGGUUCCAAGACCCCAGGUGGGGGAAGGAUGGAC